CAGCAGCCGCGGUAACACGAAGGGUGCAAGCGUUAAUCGGAAUUACUGGGCGUAAAGCGUGUGUAGGUGGUUGUUUAAGUCUGUCGUGAAAGCCCUGGGCUCAACCUGGGAAUUGCGAUGAACACUGGGCGACUUGAGUGCGGUAGAGGAUAGUGGAAUUUCCGGUGUAGCAGUGAAAUGCGUAGAGAUCGGAAGGAACAUCUGUGGCGAAGGCGACUAUCUGGGCCAACACUGACACUGAGACACGAAAGCGUGGGGAGCAAACAGGAUUAGAUACCCCCGUAGUCCCUGUCUCUUAUAC
rnacentral:rRNA from 1 species